rnacentral:rRNA from 1 species
UAAUACGUAGGUGGCAAGCGUUAUCCGGAAUUAUUGGGCGUAAAGCGCGCGUAGGCGGUUUUUUAAGUCUGAUGUGAAAGCCCACGGCUCAACCGUGGAGGGUCAUUGGAAACUGGAAAACUUGAGUGCAGAAGAGGAAAGUGGAAUUCCAUGUGUAGCGGUGAAAUGCGCAGAGAUAUGGAGGAACACCAGUGGCGAAGGCGACUUUCUGGUCUGUAACUGACGCUGAUGUGCGAAAGCGUGGGGAUCAAA